rnacentral:rRNA from 1 species
UACGGAGGGGGCGAGCGUUGUCCGAAGUUACUGGGCGUAAAGCGCGUGUAGGCGGGUUGCCAAGUCCGCUGUGAAAGCCCGAGGCUCAACCUCGGAGGGUCGGUGGAUACUGGCAGUCUUGAAGGUGCUAGGGGGAGAUGGAAUUACCGGUGUAGCGGUGAAAUGCGUAGAGAUCGGUAGGAACACCAGUGGCGAAGGCAGCACUCUGGGACGUGACUGACGCUGAGACGCGAAAGCGUGGGGAGCAAACAGG